GGAGUGUUGCGGUGCAGUGGUUAGCAUACGCUCCUUGAAAGGGUGAGGUGCGAAUUCGAUUCUUAUCACACGCCA